GCCCUAGUAACGGCGAGUGAAGCGGCAACAGCUCAAAUUUGAAAUCUGGCUCUCGGGCCCGAGUUGUAAUUUGUAGAGGAUACUUUUGAUGCGGUGCCUUCCGAGUUCCCUGGAACGGGACGCCAUAGAGGGUGAGAGCCCCGUCUGGUUGGAUGCCAAAUCUCUGUAAAGUUCCUUCGACGAGUCGAGUAGUUUGGGAAUGCUGCUCUAAAUGGGAGGUAUAUGUCUUCUAAAGCUAAAUACCGGCCAGAGACCGAUAGCGCACAAGUAGAGUGAUCGAAAGAUGAAAAGCACUUUGAAAAGAGAGUUAAAAAGUACGUGAAAUUGUUGAAAGGGAAGCGUUUAUGACCAGACUUGGGCUUGGUUAAUCAUCUGGGGUUCUCCCCAGUGCACUUUUCCAGUCCAGGCCAGCAUCAGUUUUCCCCGGGGGAUAAAGACUUCGGGAAUGUGGCUCUCUUCGGGGAGUGUUAUAGCCCGUUGUGUAAUACCCUGGGGGGGACUGAGGUUCGCGCAUCUGCAAGGAUGCUGGCGUAAUGGUCAUCAACGACCCGUCUUGAAACACGGACCAAGGAGUCGUCUUCGUAUGCGAGUGUUCGGGUGUCAAACCCCUACGCGUAAUGAAAGUGAACGCAGGUGAGAGCUUCGGCGCAUCAUCGACCGAUCCUGAUGUUCUCGGAUGGAUUUGAGUAAGAGCAUACGGGGCCGGACCCGAAAGAAGGUGAACUAUGCCUGUAUAGGGUGAAGCCAGAGGAAACUCUGGUGGAGGCUCGCAGCGGUUCUGACGUGCAAAUCGAUCGUCAAAUAUGGGCAUGGG
rnacentral:rRNA from 1 species